ensembl:lncRNA
UAAAGUUCCUCUUUGUCUCUCAGUAGGAAAUCUAAACCAGACAGUACAAGGGUACAUUUCAGCGUUACAAGCCAAUCAGUUUGCUAAUUGUUCUGUGAGAUUUGUUUGCAAAGUUUAAGGUGUUAAAGCAGGAGCUGGCAUUCUGCCAGAGCCUCAGCAACAAGACCGCCUCCCAGCAACGAGACUGCCUGUCAGCCUUGCAAGGUACCCAAUUUUCCAAUUACUCUAUAACAAAACUGUUGUGGGCAACAAGACUGUCUCCUAUGUUUGCAAGCCAAUCACUUUGUUCUUGUAAGAUUUGUUUGAAAAGUUUGAGGUGGUAACUGUGAGCUGUGAACAUCCGGGUUUGCUUGCUGCUGGCAUUCGACCAGCGUCUCAGCAACAACACUGCCUCCCAGCUUUGCAAGGUAAUUACUUUCCCAAUUACUGUACACCAAAAUGGACUAACUGUCGUGGUCAACAAAUCUGCCUCCCAACUUUCAAGGUAAUCACUUUCCCAAUUACAAUAUACAAACUGUUAUGGAACUUUACUUAACAAAGCCUUAAGACCAGGUAGUGACACUAUCAAUAUGUCUAUUUAAAGAAAAGAGAUUUUUUUUUUUUUUUUGUUCUUGUAGUCAUCUUGUCUAUCAAUGUAUCAGAGGGUUAAAAUAACAAAUUGCUUGAAAUGCCAAUAAUUAAUAUUCUGUUUUUAUGCUGACAUUCUACCAGAUGCCGAGAAAAAUAAAAGAUCCCAGGCACAAAAGAAGCGCUGGAAACCACUUGACUUGGUCGAUCCUGCUGUCCCAAUGCUCACUGGCCACAACCAAGAUGAGGCAGUCAGUCGUUUUCCAUCUGACCAGCAGACGGCACCAGCCAGGUUAUCUUUGGAAACACAGGAUAGACCCACCUCCUUAUGUUCCCCAGGUCCCAAGCAGACAGCACCAGCCAGCUUGUCCUUGGAAACUGAGAAUAGACCCACCUCCUUAUGUCCUCCAGGCAGCAAGAUUUCAGACACUCGUCCACCAGCAAAACGAGUCUGGGCAACCGAUGAUUUCCACACGGCAUCAAAUUCUCCACCUAAAA